CGCCAGUAGCAGCUGCCAGCCAGAAUAGCAAAUCCAUGCGACUUGGCACCACUCCAGCUUCCUUGAGGGUUGCAGAGGGAUGGUAUGUUGGAGGGAUGAAACUUGGAUCUCUGGAAGUGUCAUUAAAAACAAAACCAAACCAACCCCUCAAUACCAAACGUGGAAACGGCAUCAGACAAAUUCUUUUCGCGAUUUUGCGUCUGCGCGCCAGGAGCUGCUUCCAGCCAGGACAGGAAUUGGAGCAGCUCCAGCUUCGUUGUUCUUUCUCCUAAGGAAUUCGAGUAGGUUUUUGUCUGGUGCCUGCACACAUCAGAUGGUGCAGAGACGAUGUUUAGAAACCACUGUGAGCUGCCUUGGCUGCUGGGCUGGGCUGCCACUUGUCACUGGAGCUGCUGGAAGGCUUAGGCUGAACAAGUGGCUCCUUUUAAAGCAGUGGCAAUGUCAAGGGCUGGAUUGGCAGGCUGGGGGCUUCUCUCCAAGAUGCAGAUGAGGAGGAGCUGCCCACAGUCAGCCCUGGGGUGCCCUGAAAGGCUCCGUGCUGGGUGCCCAUCGUGGGUGCUUGCCUGGAUAUUUUUCAGGGCUGGCUGGAUAGCAGGAACAUUUUCCAUUGGUUUUCCUUAGUGAUGAAGGUCCCAGGGCUGGAUCCCAUCAGAAAUCCCUUGGUGUGGUUCAUGCAGGUGUGUAGCUGCUUCUCUGGCUGUAUGUGCUCCCUGUGAGACAGCACGAAAUUCCCUGCACACCCCAAAGGGAUGGAUCCCAAAACCCAGCCCUCUGUUCCCAGCAUCUGCUGCACCCUCCCUGUGCUUGCUUUGCGCAUCCCAGGCACUCAGGGAACAGUGGCUGGUCUUUCUCUGGAGGCAGAAUGGAUGCAUCACCUCUCUCUGAAGGGCGCAGAGCUCAGCCCAGCCAGCCCUUUGGUUCCUGUCCUCAUCCAGCACAUCUCCUGGAUGGAGGGAAACUCUUUUGAGACCAGCCCAGCUAAUGUACCUGCAGGAGAAGGCCCUGGAGACUUCCUAGGCAGACAGUGGUGGCUCUGGUAAUGGAUGCUUAUGAGCAGGAGUGAAGAAACUGAAGUUAUCCCCAUCAUUUCAUAAAUGAUUUCAGUCAGAAAUGAUCACAUCCAGUCCCUGUCUGAAGUCCUGCUGAGGACUCUCCCUCUUUGGUCCUGUGCCCAGGCCCAGCCUUGCCCUCAUCUCCGUACAAAGUCUGAGCCAGCAGCUCCUGUGUGGAAGUGGAAAAGACAAUCUGAACCUUUUCACAGUCAAUAAUUGACACCAGGGAUGUUUCUGUAAAUUAAUGAGUGUACCUUCUUGACUAUACUUCAAAGUUUUCACUUUAUGAAUCUUUUAUGGAAUUCUCUAUGCUGGGAAAAAAAAAAAAAGAUAACAACAAAUCCUUGUAGUACUGAAAUUUCACCUUUGUAAGUGAUGCAAUAAAAAAAAAUUACUUAAACCCUACUCUUUCA
rnacentral:lncRNA from 1 species